GGGGAGGCGGCGAAGGUGGUGAGUCGCAGCGGUCUGUAAAAUCGUUGCCUUAUGGCUAUGAGAGUCCGAAUCUCUCCCUCCCCA
rnacentral:tRNA from 1 species